UACGUAGGGUGCAAGCGUUGUCCGGAAUUAUUGGGCGUAAAGAGCUCGUAGGUGGCGGGUCACGUCGGGUGUGAAAUCCCGAGGCUCAACCUCGGGUCUGCAGUCGAUACGAGCAAACUAGAGUGUUGCAGGGGAGACUGGAAUUCCUGGUGAUAGCGGUGAAAUGACGCAGAGUAUCAGGGAGGGAACACCGGUGGGCGAAAGGCGGGUCUCUGGGCGAA
rnacentral:rRNA from 1 species